rnacentral:tRNA from 1 species
GGCGGUUUGGCGGAGUGGUUAACGCGAUUGACUCGGUAUCAAUUCCAUUCGUGGGCGCAUGUUCGAAUCAUGCAGCCGUCG